UACGUAGGGGGCAAACGUUGUCCGGAUUUAUUGGGCGUAAAGAGCGUGUAGGCGGCUUGGUAGGUCCGCUGUGAAAACUCGAGGCUCAACCUCGAGAUGUCGGCGGAAACCACUUGGCUAGAGUCCGGAAGAGGAGAGUGGAAUUCCUGGUGUAGCGGUGAAAUGCGCAGAUAUCAGGAAGAACACCCGUGGCGAAGGCGGCUCUCUGGGACGGUACUGACGCUGAGACGCGAAAGCGUGGGGAGCGAACAGG
rnacentral:rRNA from 1 species